rnacentral:rRNA from 1 species
AUGGAUCAUGAAGACUGUGUCAGUUCCGUGUCCCCUCUGUCUUCUUACCUCAUGUCUCGAAUCUUGGGACGAGAUUCUUGUUUAGUGGGGCGAGUUGUCACAUCCCAAGCUUCUAGUGCUGCCUAG